rnacentral:misc_RNA from 1 species
UCCGGUUUGUCACCGGCAGUCCCAUUAGAGUGCUCAACUGAAUGUAGCAACAUAGAACGAGGGUUGCGCUCGUUGCGGGACUUAACCCAACAUCUCACGACACGAGCUGACGACAACCAUGCACCACCUGUAUACGAGUGUCCAAAGAGUUGACCAUUUCUGGCCCGUUCUCGUAUAUGUCAAGCCUUGGUAAGGUUCUUCGCGUUGCAUCGAAUUAAUCCGCAUGCUCCGCCGCUUGUGCGGGCCCCCGUCAAUUCCUUUGAGUUUUAGCCUUGCGGCCGUACUCCCCAGGCGGGGAACUUAAUGCGUUAGCUGAGACACGGAGACCGUGGAAUGGUCCCCACAUCUAGUUCCCAACGUUUACGGCGUGGACUAC